UGAGAACAAACAGGUACAUAAGAGACGCAUGCCAAGGAUGGAAGGUAACCUUAAGAGGGCAAGGCUAGAACGACAGGGAAAACCCUCCUGGAGAAGGUGGCAUUUGAGUAAAGAAACAGAGAUUCUGAGGGCCAGAGGCUAUACAACUCUAGUUCCUUCAACUGAUCCUCAUAUAACGU
rnacentral:lncRNA from 1 species